GACAAGGGAGACGAGUGUUAUUCAUCUUUAACAGGUAUAUAGGGUACCUAGACGGUGUGCAAUGGCUUAAAUAAGUACCUGGUACACUUGAGUUUGAUAUGUGAGAGGAAUAUGUCGGAAUUGUUGGAGGAAAGAUGAAAUUUGUUAAUACCAAUAGGACUGAUAACGGCGAAGGCAAACCUUUAUGUACAUGUACUUGCUAUUUCUGUUUGUUUAUUUUUUUUUCUAUAGAAAAAAAAAGAAACUAAAAAAAAAGAAAUUUCUCUUAUAAAAAGAUACAUCUAUAUAAAGAGGAAAAGAGCAAUGUACUAUAACUGACGUUGAGGGACG
rnacentral:rRNA from 1 species